rnacentral:lncRNA from 1 species
CGUACUCCUGUCCUAGCCGUCUGGUGGCGAACAAUCGCACCUCACCCAACAACGGCCUAGGUAAAUGACUUAGCCACCCGGCGGCGAAAUCGUCGCACAACGCCACGACAGUGGUUCAGUCAACAGGCGGUAGGAUCCAUAAACUGGCUAACCAUCCGGCGGCGAAAUCGUCGCACACGCCACGACAAUGGUUCUUUAGCCCUUGGGCGGCGAAAUCGUCGCACACACCCGACACCCCUCUGGGUGUAUCAACAAGCUUUGAGAUUCCGGAGUCCAUUUCACAUUACUCGAGGGUUAGUCUUAACCUUAUGGAAUCGACCGAUCUAGGUCCAAGUCUUUACUCGACCUAAUUUAACACUUUAGGUUCGAUUCUUUUAUAUUCUUAGCCUAGGUUUAUUAUCCCUAGGACCAUCAUUCUUUCCAACCUAGGUUCACUUGACUCUAGGUUAAGCACUUUUCAUUUCACAACCUAUGUUCUUUACAUUAGGUUUAACAUCAUUCUUAUUUAACCUAUGUUUAAUAACACUCGGUUCAUUUUAUGUCCAACCUAUGGUUAAUAACACUAGGUUCAUUUCAUAUCCAACCUAUGUUUAAUAAUCCUAGGUUCAUGCCAUGCCACUCGAUCUAUGUAUGAUCCUAGUUGUCCAUUCCUAGGAUUAUGGUUUACACGUUUUAUAUUCAACUUAUGUGACUUUAGCAUGUUCAACAUUCAUAUGUCAUUUAUCAUUCAUAUGUUCAUAUACCGACAAUCCUAUGCAUUUAGCAUGAACUACAAUGCAUUCGUAUGCGUCUAGCAUGUUCGUCAUAUGACAAUCAUCAUGUAUCAUCUAGCAUGAGAUUCAUAUUCAUAUAUAUUUAUUCUUAUGUCUCUAGUAUUUACCACUCAUGCAUUCAUAGGCAUCUAGCAUUCAUAUGUCAAUGGUCAUAUAUUAUCUAACAUGAUCAUCCAUAUUCAUAUUCAUGUAUGUUUAGACAUAUGCAUCAAAUGUUCGCUUUCAUGUGUCAACAAUUAUGUAUGCUUUAGCAUCUAUGUUUACAUUUCGACAAUUUCAUUCAUAUAUGCAUCAAAUGAAACCACGAUUUACUUUGGCAUGGAAGUGACCUAAUCACUUCGGUAAAGCACAACCCACCUUUAGUUGAUACCUGGACGCGAGAAAUUCGCUUCCCGCGCUUUCCCGAGAUUCGCGACCCGCGCUCGUGCCAAUUGUAGCCGAAAAAUCUUCUUUCGGCGAUAUCUUCGCGUAGGCUCGACGGAUUGCCGAACCGACUUCGCCAACGCGUUUCCUUUACCCUCAAUUAGGUUUGUACGCGGUCAAUUUCACAUUAGGACUUCUAUCCUGCAAAAGUGCAUUAUCAAGUUUAGGUUCCAAUUAACCUAUCACUAUACACACUCUACACUUAAUACAACCUGUUUCUAUACAGGUUCUAUAAGAACCUUUAUAGAAACCUAGGCUUCAUUAAUCCGACAAACUCGAAGCCACUAACUUAGGAAUAUUAGAAAUCAACUCCUGUUAUUUCUCAUUCCUAAAGCUUCACAUCAACCUAAAAGCUCAUAUGUUAUUUACACAACAUAUAGCUUUUCUAUACCCCAAUCGAAGUUCCAAUACCCCAAAGACCUUCAACGAAGAGAUUGAAGAGAUUUACAUCAAUCCCUAAUCAAAACCUGCAUAAGAGCUGGUUGUUUACUCCUAGCUGCCAAGGCCAACACCCAACACACAAUGCUGAAAUUCUGGUUUACAAAACAGUCCCUGCAGUUUUUUUUUUACAAAACAGUCCCUGCAGCCCCUUUCUUUGCACUAGACAACAGCAGCAGCAACAAUAGCAGCCCAUUUCAGCACUUCAAUCCACUUCGAGCACCUCUAAUCACUUCCACAAUAUACUAAUGAACCUCCACGAGCUUCCAAUUUAAUCCAAGAACAAACCAACUUUAUUUAUUGCAUUAUCUUGAUCCAUUUAAUCAAGAUUAAUCAAUGCAAUUCCUGCACUUGGCAGCAACCUCACAGCCCAAACCCAAUCCGCAUGGCAGCCACAACAAUCCGAAAGUCACGGAAAAAUCCGUCGACGAAACGCUCGCAAAAUCGGCUUCUAAAUCACAUAGAAAUCGAUUUCUGAACUUUAAUUUUAGCAUAGAUUCAAUUCUAAACUUCAAUUUCAAUGAAAAUCCAUCUAGAACACCUUUCUUAGCAUCCACUGUCAAGAAUUCACCAAAACCUGAUUUGAAACCAUAAUAAUAGAAUACUAACUUCGCAAUCGAAGCGCCGGAAAAAUCCAACGCGCGCGGGGAAUCGAUCGGCUCGACAAACGGCACCAAAAUAUGUUACUUUCUUCUUCUUCUUCUCUCUAUUCCUUUUCUCUUCCUUUCACUCUCUCUCUCAUGCGUACAGGAGGGUGAAGAGGAUAAAGAUGCCCCUGGCAGCUUAGUGGAAAUCCACUAAGUAAUGGAAUAAUUACCAUAAUGCCCUUCUACUAAUCCGUUUAGCAACUCGGAUCAGAUACCUUUCGCAGGCCCUUCCAAAUGUCCGAUUGAGCUCAAAUUUGACAGGCAUGCUCGGUUUUACUUAACAAGUCCACUGAAAUUUUAACAUUUCAGUUUCGACCCCGUUUGGUCACUGCGAACUGUCCCGAACUGUAAUCUUUAUCCGAUAACUUCCAGAUGCUAUUUCUCUCUCUACAGGUGUCAGAAAAAUCUGAAACUUCAAAUCUAGCCUCAUAAAAAUGUUCCUGACAUCUCUGCCAGUUUUCAUAAUUUUCUGACACUGUGCAUUUUCUGCUAAUUUUCUCAGUCCCGUUCUUUACAGAAAAUUCUAAAGUUUUCGUUUUCACUCCGAUUUCACCCAAACAUGUCCAAAAGAUACCAAGGGACCUUCACAAGCUACCAAUCCAAUUUGGAAGCAAUUCGUUUUCAUUUUGACAUUAUUUGAGCCGAAUUAGAAAUAGAAUCGGCUCCAAUUCCAUUACAUGGCCUUUUUGCACUACCACUUCGCACUGAGCUCUUCAAAACCCUGUGAAAACACACCCUUGGCUUUACCAAAACUUCACAAUUGAUUCGGAGAUACCACAAUUUAUCCUUACGCCUUAUUUUAAUUCUUUUAAUCAAAGUUAGCAUCGGAAUUUCGAAAAUUCUCUUUACUCUCUUUACAUUUCGUUUCGCGCCCAAUUUGCGCCGAAACACUUAUUUAUCUCCAGAAUUCAUUCACACGCAUCACAAAUCACUCGGGGAUGAUGUCCAACUAGCUCAAUCCUCACUUUGACCCUCUAGGUCAAAGUUGACAUCGCAACUCCAAGUUUCCAUAUGUUACAAAAAUGAUACCUGCAACCACAUUCUCGGCUGCCGCCGCCUCCUCAGUCUGGGCCGCGUACAUGUGCCCGCUCGGGGCCUGUUGUGACCCCUCCGUCUGCCGCUGGACAGGUGGCCGACCGGCCUGGUGAUGCACAGAAGAUGUCCCCUGGCUGGGACCUGGCGAUGCUGGUGCAGAUACCGAAGAUGGCGCUGGCAAUGGACUCCUCGGGCAGUCCGACUGGAAGUGGCCCUCCUGGCCACACAAGAAGCACCUGCCCCGGCUGCGUGAACACUGCCGCGGGUAAUGAGGACCGCCA